rnacentral:rRNA from 1 species
UCCUGGCUCAGGAUGAACGCUGGCGGCGUGCUUAAUACAUGCAAGUCGAACGAAGCACCUGCGACGGAUCCCUUCGGGGUGAAGAUGCUUGUGACUGAGUGGCGGACGGGUGAGUAACGCGUGGGUAACCUGCCUUAUGCAGGGGGACAACAGUUAGAAAUGACUGCUAAUACCGCAUAAGCGCACGAGACCGCAUGGUCAAGUGUGAAAAGAUUUAUCGGCAUAAGAUGGACCCGCGUCUGAUUAGGUAGUUGGUGAGGUAACGGCCCACCAAGCCGACGAUCAGUAGCCGACUUGAGAGAGUGAUCGGCCACAUUGGGACUGAGACACGGCCCAGACUCCUACGGGAGGCAGCAGUAGGGAAUAUUGCACAAUGGGGGAAACCCUGAUGCAAGCGACGCCGCGUGAGUGAUUGAAGUAUUUCGGUACGUAAAGCUCUAUCAGCAGGGAAGAUAAUGACGGUACCUGACUAAGAAGCCCCGGCUAACUACGUGCCAGCCGCGGC